rfam:Oryza glumipatula chromosome 6, whole genome shotgun sequence.
AAAAAGACAAACCCUGGGCUUUCGUAUCCAACGUUUGACUGUCCGUCUUAUAUGAAUUUUUUUUUAUAAUUUCUAUUUUCAUUGUUGUUAGAUGAUAAAACAUGAUUAAUAAUUUAUGCGUGACUUGUCUUUUUAAUUUUUUUCAUAAUUUUUUUAAAUAAGACAAACGGUCAAACGUUGGACACAGAAACCCAGGGUUUCUCUUUUC